rnacentral:rRNA from 1 species
AGUGAACGCUGGCGGUAGGCCUAACACAUGCAAGUCGAACGGCAGCACAGUAAGAGCUUGCUCUUACGGGUGGCGAGUGGCGGACGGGUGAGGAAUACAUCGGAAUCUACUUUUUCGUGGGGGAUAACGUAGGGAAACUUACGCUAAUACCGCAUACGACCUACGGGUGAAAGCAGGGGAUCUUCGGACCUUGCGCGAUUGAAUGAGCCGAUGUCGGAUUAGCUAGUUGGCGGGGUAAAGGCCCACCAAGGCGACGAUCCGUAGCUGGUCUGAGAGGAUGAUCAGCCAACCUGGAACUGAGACACGGUCCAGACUCCUACGGGAGGCAGCAGUGGGGAAUAUUGGACAAUGGGCGCAAGCCUGAUCCAGCCAUACCGCGUGGGUGAAGAAGGCCUUCGGGUUGUAAAGCCCUUUUGUUGGGAAAGAAAAGCAGCAGGUUAAUACCCCGCUGUUCUGACGGUACCCAAAGAAUAAGCACCGGCUAACUUCGUG